UGAUUAGGUUAUUGCCAGGGGGUUAUUUUUAUAUUUCAAAUCUCGAUGUUAUUUUAUGUUUUUUAAAUGUUUGUUAGUUUUUUUGAAUGUGUUAUUUAAAUAACAUAAAAAAUAAAAUAUAUAUUGACAUGGAUUAAACAAAGAUAUAUAUUAUUUUAUGUUGCGUAAACAAAUUGGCAAAAUAAAGAUGGAARAUAAAAAUAAAACGCUGGCAAUAACCUCAUCA
rnacentral:misc_RNA from 1 species